UGGAAAGAAGCAUGGCGGAUGCUGGAAAUAAAGAGUCAGCGACGAUUGGAGGAGAUGAAUUUACCAACACAGAGUUGGAGAAUAACAAGAAUAACACGAUGGUGCAGGAAGGAUCCACUCUGCUGCGGAGAAUGGAGAUCAGUGUGGCCGAGGCAGAGAAAAGAACUGGGAAAAAUACAGUGAACAUGCAAGAGAUAUUCACAGUGUACCUCAUAGAAACUCGAUCCAUAGAUGCAAUAACAGAAGGCCACAACCCAGCCCCAGACUCUCUCUGGAGGAGAUACAGUGAAUUUGAGAUUCUCCGGAACUAUUUGUUAGUCACCUAUCCAUUUAUCGUGGUGCCACCUUUGCCAGAGAAGAGGGCAGAGUUUGUUUGGCACAAGCUGUCGGCAGACAACAUGGACCCAGACUUUGUAGAGAGGCGCAGGGUUUGUCUGGAGAACUUCCUACUUCGUGUGGCCUCCCAUUCGGUUCUGUCCAAUGACAAAAUCCUAUACCACUUCCUGACUGAGGAACACAGGUGGAAGGAGGUGGUGUAUGAGACAGGGUUCCAAGCCAAGGCAGACUCCAGGAUUAAAGCUCUGAGCGCAACUUUCAGGGUGAAGAACCCUGACAAGCGGUUCACAGAGAUGAAACACUACAGCGAUGAGCUUCAGUCUCUCACCUCCCAGCUGCUCAGAGUCAGAGCAAGAGUAGCAGACAGGCUCUACGGCGUAUACAAAGUCCAUGGGAACUACGGAAGAGUGUUCAGUGAGUGGAGUGCCUUAGAGAAGGAGAUGGGAGACGGUCUACAGAGUGCUGGACACCAUAUGGAUGCCUAUGCUGCCUCAGUAGAUGAUAUCUUGGAGGAAGAGGAGCACUACGCAGACCAACUGAAGGAAUACCUUUUCUAUGCUGAAGCCUUAAGGGCUGUGUGUAGGAAACACGAGCUGACCCAGUAUGAGCUGGAGACGGCCUCCUCAGACCUCAUCUCCAAGAAGCAGCAACGGGAGGAGCUGGCCACUGGGAUGGUACGGACGUUCUCCUUCAAAGGAAUGACCAACAAGCUGUUUGGUCAGGAGACACCAGAGCAGAGGGAGGCUAAACUCAGCCUACUGGAGGAGCAGAUCGUCCACGGAGAGGAGACGGUCACAGAGAAAACAGUGGAGUGCGAGGAGUACGUGAAGGGUGCGUGGGUGGACAUGCAGCGCUUCAAGGAGCAGAAGGACAGGGAUCUGAGGGAGGCUCUGAUUGGCUACGCCAUCAUGCAGAUCAGCAUGUGUAAGAAGGGCAUUCAAGUGUGGACCAAUGCUAAGGAAUGUUUACACAAGAUGUAAGGGGGUCGGGCCGUGGGUCAGCGACAACGUCUAUGGUACGAGUGCACAACAACUUCACCUUUUGACCUUCAGAUGGAAACAGAACCACUGUUGUCACAGCAACAAGCCCCAGCUGGCAUAAAGUUACAGGGCUGCGUCUCAAUACUCAGUCCAAUACUGGCUGCGCUCCAGAUAAAGUGGGGAGGUAAGGAAGCCUUUCAAGACAUGAGAUGCAGUCUGGGACUAUAUUUUAUAAUGAGAUAUAAGGCACAAACAUCUCCUUGUGUUGGUUUAUUAAGAGAACAUGUGUGUAGUAUCAGCGGGAUAAAGGUUUGUUUAUUAAGAGAACAUGUGUGUAGUAUCAGUGGGAUAAAGGUUUGUUUAUUAAGAGAACAUGUGUGUAGUAUCAGUGGGAUAAAGGUUUGUUUAUUAAGAGAACAUGUGUGUAGUAUCAGUGGGAUAAAGGUUUGUUUAUUAAGAGAACAUGUGUAGUAUCAGUGGGAUAAAGGUUUGUUUAUUAAGAGAACAUGUGUGUAGUAUCAGUGGGAUAAAGGUUUGUUUAUUAAGAGAACAUGUGUAGUAUCAGUGGGAUAAAGGUUUGUUUAUUAAGAGAACAUGUGUGUAGUAUCAGUGGGAUAAAGGUUUGUUUAUUAAGAGAACAUGUGUGUAGUAUCAGUGGGAUAAAGGUUUGUUUAUUAAGAGAACAUGUGUAGUAUCAGUGGGAUAAAGGUUUGUUUAUUAAGAGAACAUGUGUGUAGUAUCAGUGGGAUAAAGGUUUGUUUAUUAAGAGAACAUGUGUAGUAUCAGUGGGAUAAAGGUUUGUUUAUUAAGAGAACAUGUGUAGUAUCAGCGGGAUAAAGGUUUGUUUAUUAAGAGAACAUGUGUAGUAUCAGUGGGAUAAAGGUUUGUUUAUUAAGAGAACAUGUGUAGUAUCAGCGGGAUAAAGGUUUGUUUAUUAAGAGAACAUGUGUAGUAUCAGUGGGAUAAAGGUUUGUUUAUUAAGAGAACAUGUGUAGUAUCAGUGGGAUAAAGGUUUGUUUAUUAAGAGAACAUGUGUGUAGUAUCAGUGGGAUAAAGGUUUGUUUAUUAAGAGAACAUGUGUAGUGUCAGCGGGAUAAAGGUUUGUUUAUUAAGAGAACAUGUGUAGUAUCAGUGGGAUAAAGGUUUGUUUAUUAAGAGAACAUGUGUGUAGUAUCAGUGGGAUAAAGGUUUGUUUAUUAAGAGAACAUGUGUGUAGUAUCAGUGGGAUAAAGGUUUGUUUAUUAAGAGAACAUGUGUGUAGUAUCAGUGGGAUAAAGGUUUGUUUAUUAAGAGAACAUGUGUAGUGUCAGCGGGAUAAAGGUUUGUUUAUUAAGAGAACGUGUGUGUGGUAUCAGUGGGAUAAAGGUCGUAUGGUGAGAGUGUAGCACAUGGGGGAUGUGGGAAACUUACUCCUUAGCCUGAAAUGUCACAGCUUGCGCAGCCAAAUUGUUAACGCUUCAAGGGCGCAGACUGGUAAGACGCUUCGGGAGGGCGGUCACGUGGGCUAGCGAAGCAGAUGUCCUGGGUUCGAGCAUCGGUGUGAGCCCGAUCAGGAGGAAGCGGUACUCGCUAAGCAAGCAGCGUGACGUCACUUAUCAGUAUGCUGCUGUUACCUUGGUUUACCUCUAUGAACUGAACUGGAAAAGAAACUGAAUCAACUGUCAAAGGACUUAUUGCCUUUUCUCUGCUUAAAGCACAUGAUAUCAUAAUGUCUGGUAUGUGAAUAUUGAAGAAGAUAUUAUUUCAGAAAAUGUCAAGGUACAUGUAUAUAAGAAUAUUAUAUACUUUGACGUGUCCAUCUAUGUAAAUAUAUUAACCUGGUGUUUGUUGGUUGAAGCCAAAAUAUUAACUCACUAAUUUAAUCAUAGUUUCUCAAAGAAAACCUCCUAUUUGUACAUUGUGACGCGCAGUAAUAAUGUGAUUUAAGGUCA